rnacentral:lncRNA from 1 species
AUGCUGAUUUUAGCAAAUGCAAAUAAGCUUAUAUGUGCAAUAUGUAGUUUUUUAGACAUGAAUAUGCAGACUGGAGCUCUUUCAUCCAGAUGUAAAAGAUCAGAUUUAAGAUCAAAGAAAACAUUGGGUUAUCUGGAGGAUCUAUUACAAUUUAUUUAUUUAUUUAUUUAUUUAUUUUUUUGUCUGAGUGCACAUUUCAUUGUCUUGCAUUGCAACUACUCAACAAAAACACAUUCCAUGGGAACAAAACCCUGAGAUGAUUUUUCCGUAUCAUCUGAAAACUUCCUGAAGUGGGGAAAAUAAUUGAUGUAGUGUGCUCUUUUGUCCUCUUUUCUCAAUGGUUAUAUUAUCAAGAAAUCUCAAGCUAUUUAAAGACAAGGCACUCACAUAGGGAUUACAAAUAUACACUAAUACUAAAACAAACAUUAACCUAGAAUUUAUUCACACACAUGAAAUAAAACUUUUAAAAAACCUAACAAAUGUAGGUCAGAAUGCAUAUAGUUUAGAUAACACAGGCCUGCCUUUGUAGUUCACUGGAGAUACAUACGUUUUAACAUACAUAGCACUGCUAUGGUACAAAAAUCAAGAAAAAAUAACAAUUAAGACAAAUAAUAAUCUUUUUGUCCUCUUUUCUCAAUGGUUAUAUUAUCAAGAAAUCUCAAGCUAUUUAAAGACAAGGCACUCACAUAGGGAUUACAAAAUAUACGACUAAUCUAAAACAAACAUUAACCUGAAUUUAUUCACACACAUGAAUAAACUUUAAAAACCUACAAAUGUAGGUCAGAAUGACAUAUAGUUUUAGAUAACACAGGCCUGCCUUUGUAGUUCACUGGAGAUACAUACGUUUUUAACAUACAUAGCACUGCUAUGGUCAAAAAUCAGAAAAAAUAACAUUAAGCAAAUAUAAUCUAGCAUAAUAAUUUUGAUGACAUUUUCAACAUUUUAAAGCACAUAUUUACUAUCAUUAGGGCCUGCCCUUAUGUGAUCAGCUAUGGAAUACAUAAUCAAUGCACCUACCACAACUACAGUGAUUUGCUAUUAUAUAUAUUAUAUAAUAUGCAUUUUUCGUACUGUAGAAUAUGCAUUUUUCAUACUGUACAUUAUAAUGUGAUGCCUAAAUAAAUUAAACGUUGUUGUUGUUUAAAGAAAAUAGUGCAUACAUAUAUUCAGGUAUUUAUUUUCAGCAGUCAUAGUAUAAAAAUAUGAUCUGCUUAUCUGUAUUGGUCAGAUAUUAAUAUUGCUGCAUCCCUAGUAUAUAUUUCAAAUACAGUAUAUUGUCAUAUUCAGGUAUUAUUUUCAGCAGUCAUAGUAUAAAAUAAUGAUCUGCUUAUCUGUAUUGGUCAGAUAUUAAUAUUGCUGCAUCCCUAGUAUAUAUUUCAAAUACAGUAUAUUGUCAUAUAUAUUCAUGUUCUCAAAACACAGACAAGAAACUGCAUUAACAAAACUACACCACACAAACUGUUCAUCAAACAAUAAAAACCUCAGGUCUGCCUUCUCGUCAUGUCCAAUCACUGUCCAAUCAGUGUAGACUGUCCUCAUUUAGGACCAUAUAUGCUGAAUCAUCUUCUGGAUGAGUUUGGCUCCAUAAUUCUGACAGCAAAUAUAUGAAUGCAAACUAUACAAGUAAUCCAAUGGUGC